GGAGGGAUGGUGGCUCAGUGGUAGAGCAUCUGCUUCAUAAGCAGAAGGUCCCAGGUUCUCAAUCCCCUGGCAUCUCCA